UAGGGAAUCUUGGACAAUGGGCGCAAGCCUGAUCCAGCCAUGCCGCGUGAGUGAUGAAGGCCUUAGGGUUGUAAAGCUCUUUCGCCGGUGAAGAUAAUGACGGUAACCGGAGAAGAAGCCCCGGCUAACUUCGUGCCAGCAGCCGCGGUAAUACGAAGGGGGCUAGCGUUGCUCGGAAUCACUGGGCGUAAAGCGCACGUAGGCGGAUCGUUAAGUCAGGGGUGAAAUCCUGGGGCUCAACCUCAGAACUGCCCUUGAUACUGGCGAUCUCGAGUUCGAGAGAGGUUGGUGGAACUCCGAGUGUAGAGGUGAAAUUCGUAGAUAUUCGGAAGAACACCAGUGGCGAAGGCGGCCAACUGGCUCGAUACUGACGCUGAGGUGCGAAAGCGUGGGGAGCAAACA
rnacentral:rRNA from 1 species